UGGUCUAUAACUCGGUUGGUAGAGAAUUAGGCUUUUAACCUAAUGGUCACGGAGUUCAAGUCUUAUUAUACCCA